rnacentral:rRNA from 1 species
GGGUUGUGAGGUUAAGCGACUAAGCGUACACGGUGGAUGCCCUGGCAGUCAGAGGCGAUGAAGGACGUGCUAAUCUGCGAUAAGCGUCGGUAAGGUGAUAUGAACCGUUAUAACCGGCGAUUUCCGAAUGGGGAAACCCAGUGUGAUCCGUCACACUAUCAUUAACUGAAUCCAUAGGUUAAUGAGGCGAACCGGGGGAACUGAAACAUCUAAGUACCCCGAGGAAAAGAAAUCAACCGAGAUUCCCCCAGUAGCGGCGAGCGAACGGGGAGCAGCCCAGAGCCUGAAUCAGUAUGUGUGUUAGUGGAAGCGUCUGGAAAGGCGUGCGAUACAGGGUGACAGCCCCGUACACAAAAAUGCACAUGCUGUGAGCUCGAUGAGUAGGGCGGGACACGUGGUAUCCUGUCUGAAUAUGGGGGGACCAUCCUCCAAGGCUAAAUACUCCUGACUGACCGAUAGUGAACCAGUACCGUGAGGGAAAGGCGAAAAGAACCCCGGCGAGGGGAGUGAAAAAGAACCUGAAACCGUGUACGUACAAGCAGUGGGAGCCUCUUUAUGGGGUGACUGCGUACCUUUUGUAUAAUGGGUCAGCGACUUAUAUUCUGUAGCAAGGUUAACCGAAUAGGGGAGCCGAAGGGAAACCGAGUCUUAACUGGGCGUUAAGUUGCAGGGUAUAGACCCGAAACCCGGUGAUCUAGCCAUGGGCAGGUUGAAGGUUGGGUAACACUAACUGGAGGACCGAACCGACUAAUGUUGAAAAAUUAGCGGAUGACUUGUGGCUGGGGGUGAAAGGCCAAUCAAACCGGGAGAUAGCUGGUUCUCCCCGAAAGCUAUUUAGGUAGCGCCUCGUGAAUUCAUCUCCGGGGGUAGAGCACUGUUUCGGCAAGGGGGUCAUCCCGACUUACCAACCCGAUGCAAACUGCGAAUACCGGAGAAUGUUAUCACGGGAGACACACGGCGGGUGCUAACGUCCGUCGUGAAGAGGGAAACAACCCAGACCGCCAGCUAAGGUCCCAAAGUCAUGGUUAAGUGGGAAACGAUGUGGGAAGGCCCAGACAGCCAGGAUGUUGGCUUAGAAGCAGCCAUCAUUUAAAGAAAGCGUAAUAGCUCACUGGUCGAGUCGGCCUGCGCGGAAGAUGUAACGGGGCUAAACCAUGCACCGAAGCUGCGGCAGCGACACUAUGUGUUGUUGGGUAGGGGAGCGUUCUGUAAGCCGUUGAAGGUGGCCUGUGAGGGUUGCUGGAGGUAUCAGAAGUGCGAAUGCUGACAUAAGUAACGAUAAAGCGGGUGAAAAGCCCGCUCGCCGGAAGACCAAGGGUUCCUGUCCAACGUUAAUCGGGGCAGGGUGAGUCGACCCCUAAGGCGAGGCCGAAAGGCGUAGUCGAUGGGAAACAGGUUAAUAUUCCUGUACUUGGUGUUACUGCGAAGGGGGGACGGAGAAGGCUAUGUUGGCCGGGCGACGGUUGUCCCGGUUUAAGCGUGUAGGCUGAUUUUCCAGGCAAAUCCGGAGAAUCAAGGCUGAGGCGUGAUGACGAGGCACUACGGUGCUGAAGCAACAAAUGCCCUGCUUCCAGGAAAAGCCUCUAAGCAUCAGGUAACAUCAAAUCGUACCCCAAACCGACACAGGUGGUCAGGUAGAGAAUACCAAGGCGCUUGAGAGAACUCGGGUGAAGGAACUAGGCAAAAUGGUGCCGUAACUUCGGGAGAAGGCACGCUGAUGGUAGGUGAAGCGACUUGCUCGUGGAGCUGAAAUCAGUCGAAGAUACCAGCUGGCUGCAACUGUUUAUUAAAAACACAGCACUGUGCAAACACGAAAGUGGACGUAUACGGUGUGACGCCUGCCCGGUGCCGGAAGGUUAAUUGAUGGGGUCAGCCGCAAGGCGAAGCUCUUGAUCGAAGCCCCGGUAAACGGCGGCCGUAACUAUAACGGUCCUAAGGUAGCGAAAUUCCUUGUCGGGUAAGUUCCGACCUGCACGAAUGGCGUAAUGAUGGCCAGGCUGUCUCCACCCGAGACUCAGUGAAAUUGAACUCGCUGUGAAGAUGCAGUGUACCCGCGGCAAGACGGAAAGACCCCGUGAACCUUUACUAUAGCUUGACACUGAACAUUGAGCCUUGAUGUGUAGGAUAGGUGGGAGGCUUUGAAGUGUGGACGCCAGUCUGCAUGGAGCCGACCUUGAAAUACCACCCUUUAAUGUUUGAUGUUCUAACGUGGACCCGUGAUCCGGGUUGCGGACAGUGUCUGGUGGGUAGUUUGACUGGGGCGGUCUCCUCCUAAAGAGUAACGGAGGAGCACGAAGGUUGGCUAAUCCUGGUCGGACAUCAGGAGGUUAGUGCAAUGGCAUAAGCCAGCUUGACUGCGAGCGUGACGGCGCGAGCAGGUGCGAAAGCAGGUCAUAGUGAUCCGGUGGUUCUGAAUGGAAGGGCCAUCGCUCAACGGAUAAAAGGUACUCCGGGGAUAACAGGCUGAUACCGCCCAAGAGUUCAUAUCGACGGCGGUGUUUGGCACCUCGAUGUCGGCUCAUCACAUCCUGGGGCUGAAGUAGGUCCCAAGGGUAUGGCUGUUCGCCAUUUAAAGUGGUACGCGAGCUGGGUUUAGAACGUCGUGAGACAGUUCGGUCCCUAUCUGCCGUGGGCGCUGGAGAACUGAGGGGGGCUGCUCCUAGUACGAGAGGACCGGAGUGGACGCAUCACUGGUGUUCGGGUUGUCAUGCCAAUGGCACUGCCCGGUAGCUAAAUGCGGAAGAGAUAAGUGCUGAAAGCAUCUAAGCACGAAACUUGCCCCGAGAUGAGUUCUCCCUGAGACUUUAAGUCUCCUGAAGGAACGUUGAAGACGACGACGUUGAUAGGCCGGGUGUGUAAGCGCAGCGAUGCGUUGAGCUAACCGGUACUAAUGAACCGUGAGGCUUAACCUUACAACGCCGAAG